AUACAAAUUCACAUUCUCUUCUUUUAAUUACUCAUAUUUUGUUUUGCAAAUUGUUACUACUUCUAUUUCUGUAAUUUUAGGUUUUGAUUUUCUUCCUUGUUAGCAGAGAUUGGGGCUAAGAUCUUCAUGUAAUUUCUUCGAUUUUUUCUUACAUGCAUGUAUACAAAUUUGCAUUCUCUUUGCGGUUUUGAUUUGUAAAUAUGCUCUCGGUUGGUGCUUUACUGAUUUGCAUAGCACGUGUUUGAUGAAUUGCUUGAAUACUUAUUUUUUUGUCUAUGCAUUUAUUCAAUCAUUGUUGUAUGUCGCAUAUCUCUUUUGCAGAUAUAUCAACAAAUUCUUUUAUUAGCUUGAAACAUGUUUUUGUGCUUUGUUAAGUUAUUUGCUUUAGAGAACAAUGAAAUUGUUAACAAUGAGGUUGUUUUAUGUGCAGGUGAUGAAGAUAAAUUGAUUUGGAACUAUUUAGAAGAUGGAAGCUACUUAAAUAAGAACCAGUUGAAGAUAGACAUCAUCUUUUCAUUCAUCUGUAUUAGCAUGCAGUUUUCUUAUCAUCAGAGGUUGCUGCAGUAGCUGCAAGAGCUUUAACGCCAAAGCAACAUGGUCCUGGUGGUUUACCACUUUCACUCACGAAAGCAUAAUAUAAUCGAAGCCAACGAAGCAUUGAAUUCUAAGGAUUUAGAUCUUCUUCAACUCUUGUUGCUAGCUACUUUACUUUAAAAGUUUCAAUUUUUAAUAUUUGCUGGGAAAGAAAAAAGAAAGAAAAUUAUCAGUAUAAAGAGAUCAACAAUGAAUGAAGUGAUAGCUCAACUUCAACAUGCCCUGGCACUGCAAGAGGAGGCAGAUUCCAACACAAGUGGUGAUUAUAACUUGUUAUCUGUGACCUUUGAUCCUUCGGUUGGAGGAAGCAUAUAUUAUUAAGAACAUUGCAAGUGUGAAAAGGGAUUGAGAAUUGAAAAAGAAGCGAAGAGACAGGAUCAAUGAGAAGAUGCGUGCAUUGCAAGAUCUCAUACCAAACUGCAAUAAGGGUUUGAUGUGGGAGAACUCUCAGAAGAGAGUCUGGAUGAUUGGGAAGGUUUAGAUGCAUCAGCAGCACACAUAGCUAACUUGCUGUCAACAGAACCAGCUGAUGGAAAAAUUGUUCGCUCUCCUCAUGGUGUCAUGCAUGGGAAAAGCUCUUUGGUGUAUUAUGAUGAGAAAGGAGAAGAUGGAUUAUUUGCCGGAUUAUCAAAUCCUUUCUUAGCUGGUAGAUAUCACAGCCUUUUAAUCGAAAAGGAGAGUUUUCCUCAUAAAGAACUUGAGGUGACAGCCUGGACUGAGGAUGGUCUUAUAAUGGCAGCUCGUCAUAAGAAGUAUAAGCAUCUACAGGGUGUGCAAUUUCAUCCAGAGAGCAUUAUAACAACCGAAGGAAAGGAAAUUGUUCAAAACUUUAUCAAACUCAUUGAGAGAAAGGAGGCUGGUGGUUCAUGAAAAUGUUUAGUGCUGAAUCUUAAUGCAUUGCAACAUUUGUGGUGUGAUGACCACAUACAUGAAAGGGAAAACAGUUUAAGAAAUUUAUUGGCAAAACUAUAAGAUAGGAUUUUAUUAAUUAAAUAGCAAUUAGCAAAUAUCAGGUUGGAAUGAAAUUGAUUCACUAUACUAUAAGCGAUAAAUGUGAUUGUUGUAGACCUACAAAUUGAUUCAAUAAUAAA